AUUGAACGCUGGCGGCAGGCCUAACACAUGCAAGUCGAGCGAGAGGCGGACGGGUGAGGAAUGUAUGGGGACUGCCCGAUAGAGGGGGAUAACUACUGGAAACGGAAGAUAAUACCGAAUACUAUCGGAUAACCCAUAUGGGAUUAGCUAUUAGGUGAGGUAAUGGCUCACCUAGGCAACGACCCCUAGCUGGUUUGAGAGGAUGAUCAGCCACCCUUGGACUGAGACACGGCCCAGACUCCUACGGAGGCAGCAGUUGGGAAUAUUGCACAAUGGGCGCAAGCCUGAUGCAGCCAUGCCGCGUGUAUGAAGAAGGCCCUAGGGUUGUAAAGUACUUUCAGUCGGGAGGCGUUACCGACAGAAGAAGCACCGGCUAACUCCGUGCCAGCCGCCGCGGUAAUUC
rnacentral:rRNA from 1 species